AUCCAAGCAUUUACUUUUCAUUUCGGCAUGAUACUAUAAGGUGAUGACACUUAACAGUAGAAUCGAAACCUUGAUGUAUUUAUAAAUUCUCAGACUGCACACACAAAAGCAGUAAUACUUGUCAAAAAUAAUGUGGUCAAAUUUUAGUUACAACCAUAUUUUUUGCAAAGACAAGAAACACUUUUUAUUUUCUAAAAAAUCAAGGCAUUGUUAAUUCGUUACUCGUUCAAAGUACACUAAGUUCAUGCUAGAUAGUUGGCUCAAGUGCUUUUAAAGUAAUUGUUGAAUAAUUUUUUCCAACUUGGGCUUGUAUUGUUUUACGCGAAAGUGUUGAGUUACAGUUACCCCUGUUGAAUAAUUGCUUGCUGCUGCAGUUUGGAGUUGUUGUGGUUAUCACCAAUCAAGUAGUGGCACAAGUGGAUGGGUCUGCGAUGUUUGCUGGGCCACAAGUGGAUUCCUUGUGUACUGAAUUUGAAUCAUGAAGAUGAAGGAUAAGAAGAGGCGAUGUCUUCGACUGGUUGGAGAGCCAACCUGGGCGUCAAAGAAGAGGCGGCAGACCAAUGAGGCAGAUCACGGGGCGUCGGCGAGCCGGCAGACCUCGGGGCGUCGGUGUUGGCAACCAGUGUUAUCACGGGGCAUCGGCGAGGCGGCAGACCUCGGGCGUCGGCGAGGCGGCAGACCUCGGGGCGUCGGUGUUGGCAACCAGUGUUUGCCAAGAAGGCAGACGUCGGAGAAGAGACGGCAGACCACUGGGCGGCGAGGUGGUUGCCGUACGGAAGACAUAGGAGAAGAGAUGGCAGCGUAAGAGUGAGAAGAGACGGCAGCGUGAGGGGAGAGAUGAUUUCCUAUUCCGCCCAGCUGAUUCAUAGGGAUACGUCUGGGCUGAUUGGUUUCCUUGUACGUCUGCGCUGAUUGGUUUCCUUGUAUGUCUAGGCUGAUUUUUUUCCUUGUAUGUCUCGGCUGAUAGCUGAUUGACUGCUGGAUUGCAUGCUGAUUGAUUGCUGGAUUCCUUGUA